AGUGAACGCUGGCGGUAGGCCUAACACAUGCAAGUCGAACGGCAGCACAGUAAGAGCUUGCUCUUACGGGUGGCGAGUGGCGGACGGGUGAGGAAUACAUCGGAAUCUACUUUUUCGUGGGGGAUAACGUAGGGAAACUUACGCUAAUACCGCAUACGACCUACGGGUGAAAGCAGGGGAUCUUCGGACCUUGCGCGAUUGAAUGAGCCGAUGUCGGAUUAGCUAGUUGGCGGGGUAACGGCCCACCAAGGCGACGAUCCGUAGCUGGUCUGAGAGGAUGAUCAGCCACACUGGAACUGGGACACGGUCCAGACUCCUACGGGAGGCAGCAGUGGGGAAUAUUGGACAAUGGGCGCAAGCCUGAUCCAGCCAUACCGCGUGGGUGAAGAAGGCCUUCGGGUUGUAAAGCCCUUUUGUUGGGAAAGAAAAGCAGCAGGUUAAUACCCCGCUGUUCUGACGGUACCCAAAGAAUAAGCACCGGCUAACUUCGUG
rnacentral:rRNA from 1 species